UAUUGCGCAAUGGAGGAAACUCUGACGCAGUGACGCCGCGUAUAGGAAGAAGGUUUUCGGAUUGUAAACUAUUGUCGUUAGGGAAGAAAAAAGACAGUACCUAAGGAGGAAGCUCCGGCUAACUACGUGCCAGCAGCCGCGGUAAUACGUAGGGAGCGAGCGUUGUCCGGAUUUACUGGGUGUAAAGGGUGCGUAGGCGGCUGUGCAAGUCAGUAGUGAAAUCCAUGGGCUUAACCCAUGAACUGCUAUUGAAACUGCACAGCUUGAGUGAAGUAGAGGUAGGCGGAAUUCCCGGUGUAGCGGUGAAAUGCGUAGAGAUCGGGAGGAACACCAGUGGCGAAGGCGGCCUACUGGACUUUAACUGACGCUGAGGCACGAAAGCGUGGGUAGCAAACAGG
rnacentral:rRNA from 1 species